GCGGACCCAUCAUUAGAUCAGUCAAUUCGGCAGCAUUUGCAGUUGAGAGAAGUUCAAGCCCUAGCUCGGCCCCCACGUGGGCAGCACCACCACUCUCUUGCUCCUUGUUCCACUGCAAUGUUGUGCUAUUUUCUUGAGACGGGGAUGAGGUCGUGGACAACCCCAACCCACGAAGCAGUGAGGCGUUCGAUGUCGUAGCACCCAUUUGGGCUGCCUUUUGGAGCAAUGCCGUGGCGGACAUGGCAGCGGGCUGGGCAUAGUUGCGGUGGUCUUGAUCAGGUGUUGGGAAGAGUGAGGAGCCAUUGCUGGAGAGGUAAAGAGAGGAGGAGGAGACAGUGAUGUGGGUUCAUUAACGGAGGAAAUUUUAGUAGAGCCAUCUGGGCGGCCCAAUGCAGAUAUUUGAUUGGAGAAUGAGGACAGUAGCGAUGUUUGUUGUGGGCCGGGUGGCUGUGUGAUUAAUGCUGAGGCGGAGGAAGGUGCAAAUAUGCUUGCAAAUACACUACUACCAUUGUUGCAAUUUCCAGUCGAGGUGGUGGCGGUGGUGCUGAUUGCCGUAGUAGUUAAGCAUGACGUGGGCGGCGCCGGAGGGUACAGGCCAAUUGGGUUCUCUGGCAAAUCUGUAACCACCAGAAAACUAUCAAGCAAGUAUGAUCAUCAAAAUAUAAAAAGCAGAAUGCAAGAAAGUGGCGUAGUCAUGAAUAAAGCAUAAUUUGUUUAAAUUUUUUACCCAAGCCUUUCUCAUUGGAAACAACCUAAAAACUUUGAAAGCUUUGUGCUUUAUAUGCAAAAGGAGAGAGGAGAAAGGAGAUGGAAGCAAUAAUGGCGUUCUUUCUCCUCCAACUUUUUUUCCAUUUUUUUUAAUUUAUUUUUUUGAACCCUAAUUACCUCGAUUCCUGAGCUCCCAUGUCAAUCGUGCAUCCAUCCCUUUUUCCUGUCGCCUUGGGACAACUACACACACUCUCUGUCUACAUCCUCCAUACCCAUACUACUGUGAAAGUUGCAACUUUCCAAAAGCUUACUCACCCACGGAGAACGACAUCGAGGUAGAGACAAAAACCCAGCCAUAAAAUACCACCACCCCAGCCUUCACUAAUACUAUUUUUAUUCUGUAAUAUUGAAAAACGGGCAAGCAUUGAAGACGGAAAUGGAACUCCCUCUCUAGAAUACUAAUCAAACCUAUGUAUUUAAGACUUAUGUAAUUAGACGGAGACCCAUAUACGUAGGUUAGGCCAGUUACUCGCAGUGUGGCUGCCCUUGCAUUGAGUUUGAUUGCUCUCGACAAACUAUGGUGGUUUCUUUUUAACGAAAGAGAUUUAGAAGAGCGAGAAUCAAACUUGAAAUCUAACAUAGCUUCAAAUCUUUAAUUAUUAUCGUAGUUCUAAGUUUAGUAACUCCGCCUAUGUAUCUUACAUUGCCGGUCCCAAGCCCGGAUAAAGGAGGAGGGGGAGGGCGUCAGGUAGUCGACAGCCGGCACUCCAUGAUCACGUCGAAUCCUUAUGAAAAUGAAUCCAGAACAAAAUCGCGCUAAAGCUAGGGUGUCACCCGUAAGUGGCGCGCUGUGUGGCCCGAGCACAGUGAUAAAUGAGCAAGGGUCGCUGUAUCUCCAUCGGCACCCGGAUGCAGUGUUAAAUGAGCAAGGGGGCCAUAGAAACUUCUUUUCGAACGACUCCACCCAAAGUUGUUUGGGAGCAUAUGCUCCUAUCAACUUUACACGGGACACACAAAAGAAGUACUUUGAUCUUAUUAGACAGGGGAGGGUGAAGAAGCUAGGACAGAAGGGUAGAGUUCAAGAGAGCAAAAUGCGUUUAGGAACGUGGAAUAUAGGAACCUUAACGGGAAAAUCUAUGGAAGUAGUGGAAGUUAUGGUGAGGAGAAGGAUAAAUAUUAUGUGCCUACAAGAAACUAAGUGGGUUGGUAGUAAGGCAAAGGAUCUAGAAAACUCAGGGUUUAAACUUUGGUAUUCGGGCACAAAUAGAACGAGAAACGGUGUUGGCAUCAUCGUGGACAAGACCUUGACACAAGAUGUUGUAGAUGUCAAGAGGGUAGGAGAUAGAAUCAUGGCAAUCAAGAUUGUAAUAGGACAAGAACUUAUCAAUGUGAUUAGUGCGUACGCACCUCAAGUAGGGUUGGAUACGAGUUCGAAGGAGAAAUUUUGGGAAGACCUUGGAGACUUGGUGCAAGGAAUUGCUCAGACGGAGAAGUUAUUUAUAGGAGGAGAUUUAAAUGGACACGUGGGCAGAGAGACAGGCAACUAUGGAGGUUUCCAUGGUGGCCAUGGUUUUGGGGGAGAGAACGAGGAUGGGGAAGCUAUCUUGGAUUUUGCAAUGGCAUAUGAUCUCUUCUUAGCCAACACCUUCUUUAAGAAGAGAGAAGAACAUGUGAUCACCUACAAGAGUGGGUCGUCAAAAAACACAAAUAGAUUUUCUCCUAAUGAGGAAAGGGGAUCGUAUAACUUGUAAGGAUUGCAAAGUUAUACCAGGAGAGAGCGUGGCUAAUCAACAUCGCUUGUUGGUGAUGGAUGUACAUAUCAAAAGAGUGAGACAAAAGAACAAGACUUGGAAGUGCCCAAGGACUAGAUGGUGGAAUCUAAAAGAAGAAAAACAAGCCAUUUUCAAAGAGAAAGUAAUCACCCAGUGUGUGUGGGAUAGAGAGAGGGAAGCUAGCCAAAUGUGGGAUUCCAUGGCUAGUUGUAUUCGAAAAGUAGCAAAAGAGGUAUUAGGAGAGUCCAAAGGUUUUGCCCCAUACCAAAAGGAAUCUUGGUGGUGGAAUGAGGAGGUACAAACAAAGGUGAAGGCUAAGAAGGAAUGUUGUAAAGCCUUAUACAAGGAUAGGACCGAUGAAAAUAGUGAAAGGUAUAGAAAAGCGAAGCAAGAAGCGAAGAAAGCUGUGAGAGAAGCUAAGUUAGCGGCUUAUGACGAUAUGUAUAAGCGACUAGAUACCAAGGAAGGAGAGUUGGAUAUCUAUAAAUUAGCUAGAGCAAGGGAAAAGAAGACAAAUGACCUAAACCAAGUGAGGUGCAUCAAGGAUGAGGAUGGAAAGGUUCUUGCUACAGAGAACGCAGUUAAAGACAGAUGGAAAGGUUAUUUUCAUAAUCUUUUCAAUGAAGGACAUGAAAGGAGUGCUUCUUUAGGGGAGUUGAGUAACUCAGAAGAGUGUAGAAACUACUCUUUUUAUCGUAGAAUCCGGAAGGAAGAAGUGGUUGUAGCUUUGAAGAAGAUGAAGUAUAGAAAAGCAGUAGGCCCAGACGAUAUACCAAUCGAAGUGUGGAAAGUUUUGGGAGAGACAGGUAUAACAUGGCUCACUGACCUUUUCAAUAGGAUUUUGAAAAACGAAGAAGAUGCCAAAUGAGUGGCGAACGAGCACUUUGGUGCCUAUCUACAAGAAAAUAAGGGCGACGUACAAAAUUGCAUGAACUAUAGGGGUAUUAAGCUAAUGAGUCAUACAAUGAAGCUCUGGGAGAGAGUCAUUGAGCAUAGAUUGAGGCAAGAGACACGGGUUUCGGACAACCAAUUCGGGUUCAUGCCAGGGCGCUCAACCAUGGAGGCAAUCUAUCUCUUACGAAGAUUGAUGGAAAGAUAUAGAGAUGGGAAAAAGGAUUUACACAUGGUCUUUAUAGAUUUGGAAAAAGCGUAUGAUAGGGUCCCAAGAGACAUUCUUUGGAGGAUUUAGAGAAGAAAGGAGUACGAGUAGCAUAUAUCCAAGCUAUAAAGGAUAUGUAUGAAGGAGCAAAGACUGCCGUAAGAACUCAUGAAGGACAAACCGAAAGCUUUCCCAUAACUGUAGGAUUACAUCAAGGCUCAUCCUUAAGUCCUUACCUUUUUGCGUUGGUAAUGGAUGAGUUAACAGGACAUAUUCAAGAUGAUAUUCCUUGGUGUAUGCUUUUCGCAGACGAUAUAGUGUUGAUAGAUGAAACUCAGGAAGGGGUAAAUGCAAAGCUUAACCUUUGGAGAGAAGUGUUGGAAUCUAAAGGUCUUCGCCUAAGCCGAUCAAAGACAGAAUAUAUGGAGUGCAAGUUCAGUGCAAAUGGAGGCCAAAACGAGUUAGGGGUGAGGAUCGGAGAUCAAGAAAUACCAAAGAGCGACCGUUUUCGUUACCUAUGGAUCUAUCUUGCAAAAGAACGGAGAAUUAGAUGGAGAUCUCAACCAUAGAAUACAAGCUGGAUGGAUGAAGUGGAAGAGUGCAUCCGGCGUGUUGUGUGACCGCCGUAUGCCACUGAAGCUCAAGGGAAAAUUUUAUAGGACGGCAAUAAGGCCAGCGAUGCUGUAUGGCACAGAAUGUUGGGCGGUGAAGCAUCAACACGUACACAAAAUGGGUGUAGCGGAGAUGAGGAUGCUUCGUUGGAUGUGUGGGCACACGAGAAAGGAUAAGAUUAAGGAAUGAGGAUAUCCGGGGUAAAGUAGGAGUAGCCGAAAUUGAAGGAAAGAUGAGAGAAAAUCGGUUACGGUGGUUUGGACAUGUGCAAAGAAGGCCUACUGACGCUCCGAUUAGAAGAUGCGACUAUGGGACAGAGGUUCAGGGCCGAAGGGGUAGAGGAAGACCUAGGAAAACUUUGGAAGAGACUCUAAGAAAAGACUUAGAGUACUUGGAUCUAACGAAGGACAUGACACAGGACCGAGCACAAAUGGCGUUCUAAGAUUCAUAUAGCCGAUCCCACUCAGUGACUUGGAUUUUCCAAGUCUCCAACCGAGAAGUUUUCCUCACUCGGGAAAUUAAGGGAACACUACCCCAACCUACAUGCUCCACUCAGAAAGCUUCAACAUACAAGCUUCAACAAAAGAAAAUUCAAAGAACUUAGCGAAGAAGGCUUUGGUGUAUUUAACACAAUACGUUGAAAUGAAGGAAAGCUUAUUUAUUGAUAUCCCCGAUAAGCUACAAAUAUGUACAUAUACAUGAGUCAAAAUAAACAAACAAGAGGGAGCCUUCACAAAGGUUGCUUAGGAGAAGUCUCAGCAGUCGGUAGAGCCCCAGAAAGAGAAGGCACCGGAGGGGGAUCAUUCGGAGCCUCAGUACUGGACAGAACCCUAGAAGGAGGAGGCAUCAGAGGUUGAUCAUUUGGAGCUUCAUUACGCGGUACAGCCCCAGAAGACGAAGGCAAUAAAUGCCUUUGGAACAAACCCACAAAUCUCUGAUGAUCAAGUAAAACCUGACCAUCAGUUUCAUCUGGUCAAGCUGGUCAAGCUUCUUCAUGUUUGUAGCAUAGUCAUGUGCGAGCCGGUGCAACUGUUUAUUCUCAUGCUUGAGCCCUCUAAUCUCCUGUUUGAGACUCAUCACUUCAGCCGCCAAUGAUUCAACUUGGCGGGUUCGAGCAAAUAGGCGUUGGGCCAUAUUAGACACAGAACCUGCACACUGAACACUGAGAGCCAGCGAAUCCUUAACAGCUAACUCAUCAGACCGUUUGGAAAGUAGUCUGUUAUCUUUGGGAGUGAGAAGGUUCCUGGCCACCACCGCAGCGGUCAUAUCAUUCUUCAUCACGGAAUCCCCAACGGUAAGAGGACCAGUAGGGGAGACGAAGGAUGGGCGCCAUAUGUUGUCUGGAGAAGGCGGGGCUGCCUCUUCAACAAGGUUCAAGUCAAAACGACGGUCGGAGGGGCCAGACAUUUUCAAAGGUGUUGAAGAGAGAAGAGGUCGGACAAAUCAAGAUCUUAGAAGUGCAAGAAUGGAGCUUCUACUGGUGGAGAUUCAAGUGUGCUUUGGAACUUAAUGCCAGCCCCUAUAAAAAUCUGCACUCGACGAAGAGCUUCAGAAAUCGAAGAGGCGUUUGCUUUCUCAAAAGCUGGGCUGCUUAGAGACCACGAGGGUUGAUCUCAGAAAUCGAAGAGGCGUUUGCUUCUCAAAAGUUGGGCUGCUCAAAGACCACGAAGGCCGAUCUCAAAAAUCGAAGAGGCGCUCGCUUUCUCAAAAGCUGGGCUCCUCAGAGACCACGAGGGCCGAUCUCAGAAAUCGAAGAGGCACCUACUUUUCCAGCCUUGUCAGCACCUGUCACACGCACACUCAGCUUUGCGGAAAUUAUGGGCAUUCUGUCGAAGACUUCUGGGAAGUAGAAAACACAUGAAUCUUACUGUUCAAUCACCCACUUCCCACACGCAACAAUAGCUCAUGGGUACCACAGAUAACUUUGCCAAAGUUCUCUGCCAAAGUUGAGCACGUGAAAGCUUGCAGCUCCCACUACAUCGCUCUGACCAAGAAGGGUAAAAGAAUAGCAAAGAAACAGCACUAACAAAGUUUAGACCCAUAAAUUUUGAAGGUCUAGCUACCAUAUUAUAUACCCACAAGGGUAAAGGAACAGUACCACUGCUGGAUAAUUGGAAAGUCCCUGUGUGUCAACCUCUGUGCUUCGUGGCAAGGUAGACUAGCAAACAUGCCCAACCUUUACUCACAUUCGAGAAAACACUCCAAUAAGAUUGCUUGCUCCAAAAUCGAAGAGGCACCGUCCUCCGAAUCUCGAGAGCCAGACUCCCAACAUGACUACUUUCUCAAAAAAAUCGAAGAGAGGGUAAAGGAACAGUACCAUUGCUGGAUAAUUGGAAAGUCCCUGUGUGUCAACCUCUGUGCUUCGUGGCAAGGUAGACUAGCAAACAUGCCCAACCUUUACUCACAUUCGAGAAAACACUCCCAACAAGAUUGCUUGCUCCAAAAUCGAAGAGGCACCGCCCUCCGAAUCUCGAGAGCCAGACUCCCAACAUGAUUACUUUCUCAAAAAGCGAAGUGACACUGCUCCCCGAAUCUCGAGAGCCAGACCCCCAGCAUGAUUGCUUUCUUAAAACUCGAAGAUGCAUCGUUCUCCGAAUCAAUCGAAGAGACGCUCGCUUUCUCAAAAGCUGGGCUGCUCAGAGACCACGAGGGCCGAUCUCAGAAAUCGAAGAGACACCUACUUUUCUAGCCUUGUCAGCACCUGUCACACGCACACUCAGCUUUGCGGAAAUUAUGGGCAUUCUGUCGAAGACCUCUCGAGAGCCAGAUACCACAGACCACUUUUUCAAAGUGCUCUGACAGAGUUAAAACAUGUGAAGCUGGCAGCUCCCACUACCGUGCUAUGACCAAGCAGGGUAAAGGAAUAGCAUUACUACUUGUUGUUAGGGAGACUCCUAUAUAUGUCGACCUCCAUCCCCAACGGACAGGCAGACCUGCAAAAAUGCUCAACCCUUCCUCAUAUCUGAGAGGGCACUCCCAACGAAGCAUUUCGAAAUAUUCAGCUUUCUUUCCCCCCGAUAAUACCUCUGCAAACAAGCUUUACUAGAGCAAGAAUAUCUCAUAUCAUCAGGGUUAAAAGCAAGAGUAUCCCAUAUCAUGCUUUUUCCCUGUCUUUUCCUUUGGCCUUGUUUUUACCUGCAAGACAAGGAGAAAGAGAGCAAUCAGUCAGCACUUGGAAUCAAGCUUCCAGCCAGGAACUGACUGCCUGGAACCCCUUACCUGAUUACUUACCUGGCAUUGCUCUCGAGUACUCAUCUUCAACAUCUUAUGUUUCCAGGGAAGAUACCGCAUCUGCUUGAGGAACAGAUAGGGCAAGUGCGAAGGAUACAAGGAAGCAUGUGGAGACAAGCGUAACAGCACACGUGCCGAUACAUCCAUUACUCUGUCAAAAGCAAAAGUAUCCCAUAUCAGCAGGGUCGAACGUACUCUAGAUUUGAUGGACUUGUUUUGACCCUCAAAUUCUUCAGUCGGCCUCUGGAGGAAACCAGAAAACCCUCCAGCUCAGUUCAAGAAUAAGCCUGUGGAAAGUUACUUCUUCAAAAGCAAAAGUAUCCCAUAUCAUCUCUUUCUCUUUUUUCUUCUCUUUAUCCUUCAUGCUGUUGCAAGAUGGGGAGAAGGUGAACAAUCAGCCGGAGCUCUGAUUGCUUACCUUGUCUGUCACCUCUUUCAGCAGAUCCCCUAGCUCGGCGACUUGGGGGACUCCUACUAUAUGGUUUGUAUCGCGCUUGACCAAGCCUGAAACUACAAGUAAGCUUCAAGUGAAAUUGAUACAUUACCUUGUGCAUCUCCACCAGUUAAAGAUACCACCCCUGGAUGGAGGAAGAGUACUUCCAGAGAAGAUGCCACAUCUACCUAUGAGACAGAUAAGGCAAGUCAAGACGAUACCACACUCCGAUACUUAGAAGUUUCGUGAUUACGAGAUCAUUCUCUCACAAUAUUUCCUAAUGUCAUUUGUACUAAAUCAUUCACUUGUACUCACUAAAGGAGAGCUUGAACCUAUGUACUUGUGUAAACCCUUCACAAUUAAUGAGAACUCUUCUAUUCCGUGGACGUAGCCAAUCUGGGUGAACCACGUACAUCUUGUGUUUGCUUUCCUAUCUCUAUUCAUUUAUAUACUUAUCCACACUAAUGACCGGAGCAAUCUAGCGAAGAUCACAAAAAGUGACCGUUUUUGCUGCCUAGGAUCUAUCUUGCAAGAGAACGGAGAAUUAGAUGGAGAUCUCAACCAUAGAAUACGAGCUGGAUGGAUGAAGUGUAAGAGUGCAUCCGGCGUGUUAUGUGACCGUCGUAGGCCACUGAAGCUCAAGGGAAAUUUUUAUAGGACGACAAUAAGGCCAACGAUGUUGUAUGGCACCGAAUGUUGGACGGUGAAGCAUCAACACGUACACAAAAUGGGUGUAGCGGAGAUGAGGAUGCUUCGUGGGAGGUGUGGGCACACGAGAAAUGAUAAGAUUGGGCAUGAGGAUAUCCGAGGUAAAGUAGGAGUAGCCGAAAUUGAAGGAAAGAUGAGCGAAAAUCGGUUCCGGUGAUUUGGACAUGGGGCAAAGAAGGCCGACUGACGCUCCGGUUCGAAGAUGUGACUACGGGACAGAAGUUCAGGGCCAAAGGGGUAGAGGAAGACCUAGGAAAACUUUGGAAGAGACUCUAAGAAAAGACUUAGAGUACUUGGAUCUAACGGAGGACAUGACACAAAACCGAGCGCAAUGGCGUUCUAGGAUUCAUAUAGCCGACCCCACUUAGUGGGAAAAGGCUUUGUUGUUGUUGUUGUUGUUGUAGUUCUAAGUUUAGUAUUGUAAGAUGUGCAAAAUUAAUUACUUAGAUACAGUAGAAUUUUGUUGAAAGGUUUGGAACAAUCAUGUUACCUACCCGAGACCAAGGUCUAAAAUAUCGAUAUGAUCAUCGAAAUUCCGUGUUUUUGGAUUACCAAUAUUUCCAAUAUCAUCGAUAUUUUAGACCUUAAUAGGAACUCUAUGUGGUACUAAGUCACUCAUAUAUCUUACCAUGCAAUGUAUAAAGUGUAAAAUAUUGUACUAAUUCAUUAUAUAUAAAUGAUUAUGGUGUGUUUAAACUUAUUUCAUUAAUUACUACAUAAUUUUUACACUCACAAUGUUUGUCAGCUCGCUAUUCAAUCAACUUAAAUUAGUUAAAUCCAUCAUGCAAUGCAUUUCCUUACAAUUUUUUGUGAUAAACUAAUAGAUAAUUGACUAAAUAAAUAUCCUGCAAAGUUUCAAUAAAAAUUUCCAAGUUUUUCUUACAAUUUUCGUGUUUUUUAUUCAAUUUUUAUCGAUAUCGAUAAUAUCUCGAUAUUUCCAUCAAAAUUUUCGUAUUUUUAGACUACCGAUAUUUCCGAUAUUAUCGAUAUUUUAAACAUUGCCCAGACGCACUCCCAAGCUUAGCAUUUGACGCACGUUGGCGAUGUGGCAUGCUCAUAUUAUUCAUCAUAUCGUAACGAUAAACCCACAUUUAUUGACCUUUUUAAAUAGGGUUACCUGAGCUCUGAAUAGACAAGGCCGGAGACACGGUGUUCGACGGUGUGUGAGGCGGUGGAGGCGGCGACGCCACCACCCCAGAAGCAAUCAGAUAUAUCUCCAGAAAUUACGAAAACCCAGUGGCUAACUAACAUGUUUCUUAUCAGGCAAACUUGUGUUAGGCCAGUUUGCUCGGCAAGCCUACCCCCGGUAGUUUAGAACACAAAUCGUAUAGCAAAAUUCAAAUUCAAUUUCCUAAAAGUAGACAAAAAUUCAUACUUAAAAUAAUGAAAAGGUAGCUGAAAUCAAAGAAAUAGAAAUCUCAUGGAGCUUAGCGGCGAUCGGAACCGAAUCCAGAAAAAGCAAGAAGUAAAACCUUAAUUUCUCCAACUCCCAGAACUCGGCGAUCGCCUCCAACGGUUAGAAAAGUAGAGUCCCAGAAAAUUCUAAAUGCACGGGGUUUUAUGGUCGGUUUUUUGGAUUUGGAUUCUUUUCGAGGCAACUGGUUAGGUUUCUUCUAAUAUGUUUUUGUGUAUCUUUGAAUUUUUAUCUAACGGUUACAAUUAUUAUAACUUUUAGAUAGCUUUCUAUUUGUAACCGUUGGAUAAAAAUUCAACGGUCUACAAACACCGGUCAAAGGAUCUGACCAGUUGCCUCGGAGAGGAUCUUUUUUCACUUCAGAUUGAGCGUUGAAUUUACUGACUAUUUAACCACUAGUCGUACUGAUAUUUACGGAACACUACAGGCAGUGGUGGAUUCAGGAUUUUAACUUAGGGUGGUCCCAAUAUAAAAGCUUCAAAAAAAAAAUGAAGAAAAUAUCAUUGAACAAAUAAAUGGCAAACUACAAUUUUCAUUCAUAAUCUUUGUGCUAAAUAAGCUAGAAAUACUAAACUUGUCCACGAUGGGAUCACAUACUUUGAAAACGUGUUAUGAUAGUUUUAUUGUCAAUACAAAAAAAAAAACAUCUUUAGCUCUAAAAGGCUCCAUUAAAAUAUGCUAUUCGGACCUCAUCUCGAAUAUUUGGAGGAUAAUCCUUCAUUUGAAUUCUCUUUCCGGGGUCUCUCUCAAGAUUAUCCUAAUAAACUUUUAACUCAUUUUGUUGUGGGGUGUAAUUACCCCCAAUUGGAUCAGACCUAUUUGGAAUUGGAGGGGAACUAUCCAAGUUUGGAGAUGAACUAUUUGGAAUAUGAUUGUCUGAACUAAUCGAUGAUGAUUUUCGCUUGUAAUAUCGUUCCAUACUUUUAAUUUCUACACAUAUCAAUUAAUUAAAAAAUCUAUGUCAAUUGAUGAAACUAAAAAUAUGUAUGAACUAAAAACCCCUAACUGUAACACAAUCUUCAACAAAAGAAACCCUAUAACACAAUCCAAGUAAUAUCAGAAAAUCCUAACGAAUCAACAAUAAAUAUGUAUGAACUAACACUAAAAUAGAUAUGAAAAAAAUCAUUUGCAAGAUUCACUGUUCGGCCCCUUUGUUUUUAAUUAGUGUUCUUUUAAAAAAAUUACCUAAAAGUCUAAAACUAAAAAUCCUAACAAAUUAACAAUAAAUAUGUAUCAACUAACACUAAAAAUAAGUUAGAACUAACACUAAAUUAGAAAUCUUACAGAAAUGUUUGGUGGUAAACACACGUACAUUCGAGACGGAAGUUGAACAGGGAGCAGAGAGCAGAAAUUGCUAUGGAGGGCAUGAAUGUUCAUUUUGUUUCAAGGUCUGAGUCUAAAUAAAAUCAUCGACAAAAUCACAAUCUGAAUACCAAUAUAUUGAAAACAAAGCAAAUCACAACGUUGGGGUUACUUGGGUAGCGUGAGGAUUCCUCCUGUUUGAAAACUUAUAGACAAUUUGCUAUUAUUGGUGAAGUAAAGUUGAUUGAAAGCACUAUUCUAUAAAAGAUGGUGAGUCUGACUUUUCUAUAAACAAUAAAAGAUGGUGACUGGCGAGUGCUCUAUCACGUGAAGGUGAGGAGUUUUUAAAUUUUUUUAAUAACUUGGCUCAAAAUGACCUCGUUUUGGCCAAGUUAUUUAAAAAAAAAAUGACUUUCUUCUUCCUCCUUCCGUUUUGCACAGCUUGCAGCAGCCAUGGCUGCUGUUCUUCUGCCCAGAUUUGAAUGGUCCUUGAAGAUCCUCACAGCCGUUUGUCCUAGCUUUCGGGUGGUCCUGGGACCACCCUGGUCCCUUAAUAGAUCCGCCUCUGACUACAGGUAGUUUAUGAUCCGUGAUGACGGCGGUUUGGUAAUUGCGAUGACAGCUGAAGAACCAUAUCGGACCGGUACGUGAAGACUUUUAGCUGAAGUUUUUAGACUCUUUACCGUAUUUUCAUAAAUUUUUUUUUCAAUAUAAUAGGAGGAUAAGCUAGUGGGGCGUUGUGAAUAUACUUCUAUGUUUUGAGAAAUUAUAUAAAAAAAACCCCGGAUUUUACUCUCAUCACAAAAAAUCCUCAACCAUAAUCAUAUUUUAUAUUUUAACUAGGUUUUCUAUCGUAAAAGUUUUCCUGAAAUUCUACUCUGCUUCACUUUGGUUAAUUCUAACAUUGACCAAUAUCGUUACUGAACUUUACUAUGCAUAUCGAUUUUAUCUAUAUCAUAAAAAUUCAUUAAAUUUUCUUUUUAGGUAUUGAUGUGAGCGUAACCACACUAAUAGGGUCGCAUCUUUUUCCAUAAUUUUGAUUAGGUCAUAGUGAAAAAAUUUGGGAAGAAAAUAAACCAUAUUGACCAUACACGUGUACCAUGAUAGACAUGAAGUGGAAGGUUCGUUUUCUACUGUUCAAAAAAGUGGAAGAUGAUCAAAAGUGAAAAGCUGGGAGUAGAGUAGGAUGCUGCUUACAAUUAGAAUAAAUUAGUAGAUUUUGAGGUGACGUAAUACCAUCCAAAAGCUUAGGAGGGCACUUUUGUCAUUUCAUAUGCGAUUUGAUUAGAUGUGUAAUCACAUGGUUAUACUUGAACAAUUAUAUUCCUCUCUAUUUGUUUAAUCAUUACGUUUAGAGAUGUGAUAUUCAUACACCCUAUUUUACUUCUCACACACUUUUUUAAUUUUCGGCAUUUCGAUCGGAUAAAUCGAAGAAGAUCAACGAACAUAAAUUAUCAAAGGUGUGUGAGAAGUAAAAUGAGGUGUGUGGAUAGCACACCUCUUACGCUUAUCCUACGUUCUCACGUUUAACACUAGUUUUUUUAUAUUUCGUUAUGCUUGAACAAUUAUGUUAAUCUCCAUAUUAUUUACCGUAUGUUCUCACAUACUUAUUUCUUUCAUUAUGCUUAAACGGUUUUAUAUAUAUAUAUAUAUAUAUAUAUACAAAUAUAUAUUUGAAGUUUUGUGUUUGAUUCUCCUCUUUCCGAUGUGGUUUGUAUCAAAUAAGAUUGAGUAUUACUGGACAUAAUUCUCAAGUACUAUGUUUCAACAAAAAAUCUCCCAGGAACUUAAAUCUGCAAACUACAAAAAAGAUGAGCUCGACCAACCUAGGUUAGAUAGAACAAUAGUUUGAAAUUGCAUGCCAAACAUUCAACUAUCGAAAAAUUCUUAGGAUCGAUGACUAUCAUCUCAGCCAUCUCCAAAUGAAAAUGCAUUUACUUUUAUCUCCAAUAUGUCUUUAAAUUAGAGAGUUACACAUUUUAAUUCAAUACUUGCGAAACGAGUUUGUUGAAAGAAAAUUCCACUUAUAUAUGUAUUGCACAAUUGAUAAUUGGAAUAAAAAUUUAUAUGGUGUAGAAUGUCACAUUAUUUUGUGCACAAAUUUGGUGUAUGUAGCACCACUCAAUUUAAGUGGAAUAGUAAGUCUACGUAGCUGUGGUUAAUCUCGAUACACCAAAAAAUUGCUCAACAAAUAAGAAUGACAAAUUAACACGUUUUAAAUGGAACUCAUAACCAAAAUGAAAAUCAAGAAGCCAAGUUGAAAGAAUAUAAUAAAUUAUUGAUUUGCAAGUAAAUCUGAAGGACAUAAAUUGCAUAAAUUAGUAUGAUUUAAUAAAAAAAGGUCGAUAUAUAUUGAAACAUACAUUUUUUGAGCACCUGGAAACAAUACUUCUCAAUGUUCACAGUCAACCUUAUUCAUUAGCAUCAACAAAACUUUAUCUAACUAAGUGGAGUCGGUUGUAUAAAUUUUAAAACGUCAUUAUACUCGGUAUUUUCAUUAGAGCAUUCAAUCCCCAAAUUUUGUCGUCGGAAAACCUCCAAAAUUUUCAAUUUGCAAUCUUCGUGAAAAUGAUCUGAGCGCCGUACUGGGGCUGUAAAGUUAAAAAGAGCAUUGGGCCAUGAACAUAUGUUGGUGACAUCCUGAAAGAAUAGCGUUGGAUGAUGAGUGCCAAUGCUAGUUUUGCUUCAACCACGGCCGAAGUUUGACCUGCGCAGAUUCGAGGCCCCAGGCCAAAUGGGAUGAACGAGGCUGAAUGCCUUCGUGACUCCAAAAACCUCGAUGGAUUGAAUUCGUGAGCAUCUUCUCCCCAUAUCUCAGUGUCGUGAUGGAUGGCGAUCAACAUCAAAUAAAGUUGUGCAUCAGCAGGAAUUUCCAGGCUCCCGAGCUUAACCUUCUUUGUUGCUUGCCUCGUUAUCAUCGUGGCUGGAGGGUAGAGCCUGAGCGUUUCAGUAACGAUCAUAGUUAUCUGUUAAAAAAGUGCAGAAAAUAAACAAAAUGUGAGGAUCCAGCAACUUGUUUGCGUAAUUUAAGUGCUACUUUUAUCCGAAGUGCAGAACAGCAGUGAUACAAAUAAAUAGGAAUGGAUUUCGUUAUGCUGGCGAGAUAGAAGAUAAUUGUAUGAGCUUACAUUCUUGAGGUCAUUCAAGUUCUCUGCAACCGGGAGCUGAUUGUCUCUGAAAACGCGGAAUACUUCUUCCCUAGCCUUGCUUUGCCAUUCCGGAUGCUGUGCUAGAAGUAGUAGUACCCAAGUCAAAAGAUUGGCGGUUGUUUCCUUUCCUGCAAAGUAGAAGGUCUUGCAUUCAUCUAUAACUUCCUGUAUCCCUAACUUUUCGUCUUCACCAUCCGGAUUCUUGUACGGCGUCAUUAACAGACUAAGCAGAUUUCUCGAAUCUCCCUUGUUUUUGCCAUUUUUCGCAAUCAACGUCCGUAUGGAUUCGCUACUUUCCUUGUCUAAUCUCCACCUUUCUCUGUUACUCUUGGUAGGCAAAAACCUGCAUGCCAGAAAAAGCAUUCAAUGAGAACUACCUUGUUGAAUUAAGAUCAUCUCAGUAAUUAGCAAGUAUAUAAACCAAGUUCUUUUUUAAACGACAACAGCGAGGGUAACGAAGGAUUAGGAGAACAUACUAUAUAUAUAUAUACACACACACACACCAACAAGGUAGUCCACCUGAAUCCAGGAAUGUAAAUGCUCCUUGCUGCCUUCGUGAAGAGAUGCAUUUGUUGUUCUUGCAAAUCGAAAACAUGUUUUCCUUCCUCGAAACAGCUUCCGAAAGCUGUCCUCGAUAUGACAUCCCCUAAGAGCAGAUGAAGUUCUUUGUGCACAUCCAACUCAAACUCUUCUCUCCCUCCUCUUACAUCCUCCCAUUUCUCCAACAUCUUCAUUGUACUCUCCACAAUCUCAGGAACCCAACUCUGUUGUAUUAGAAACAUCAUCAACUACAUCACCAUUCACAUCAAAUAAUACGCAUAUGAACCUAAAACAUUAUCGCAUUAUGUUACUAAUCUGCCGGUUAUAAUACGAAAUAGUUGAUACGGUAUGAACCUAAAACAUAAUAUAACGUAAUAAUUAGUAACGCUAUGUGAGAGUGCGAUACCUUUACGCGCUCCAUGUUGAAGGCCUGAUUUACUAUCCUUCUGUGAAAAGCCCAUUUAUCGCCCUCGAGCCCGACGAGACCCCAGUCACCAAGCAGAUACUUAGUCAGAGGUGUAAAGGGGAUCUUUCUAAACGACCCACCCGAAUUGAAAAGGAUUUCCUUGAUCAUAUCCGGGUCGGAUAUAGCCACUCGGGGCUUCAACCCAAACCAGUAGACAAAAUUCUUCCCGUACAUGACGGACCACUGGUGGUAAAAUGGGGCCACGCGUUGAACAAUGUUGUGGUGGAAAGGGAAAGGCUUGGAGAGAGCCUCAGCGAACAUACGGCGGAUCUCGGCCGAGUUUCCAACGACCGGACGGUAGGCGGGGCCGCGCAGGCCUUGCUUCUGGAAAUGGGUUUGUGUCCUCAGUGGGACCCAUAUGGUUGAAUACACAGAUUUGAAGAGGAGGAUAAGAAGAAGAGGAAAAAUCACAAGAAGUAGAAAAUGCAUCGUGAAAUCAGAGAGGGAGGGAGAGAGAGAGAGAGAGAGAGAGAGAGAGAGAGAGAGAGAGAGAGAGAGAGAGAGGGCUAUUUGGGAUAAGCUUUUUGUCACUACCGCAGAAAAAGUUGGAGAUGUUUUUGGGUCAUACACUCGCACUUGCAAGUUCUUCCGUCUAGAAUUUGUUUACCAAGACUUACAACAUGCUUAAAAUGAAAGUACUUCAAACAAAAGCUCUUGUGAACAUAAGUUCAAACAAGCGUUGGACCUUCUGUUAUAAGAUAAUGGCUUUUGCCGACAGCAGAAGCUGAUUUUUGGCUAUUCUUUUGGCCUGAACAACUGAAGCUACUUGAGUGAAACUUGAAAGACCAGUUGGUGUGGUUGGAAUAGAAAGAGAUUAUUGGGUGGUUGCGUCGAUUUUCAGGUUUCCAGUAGGAAAAAGUCUUUAGGGAAUCUUCAACUCCAAUUAGAAUACUAGGAACAAAACGAAAACCUAUUAACAAAGUCCUCGAUCCGCGAAUCGGCGAUUACGAGUAAUGUGGGAGAGCAAAAUUUUAAAUUACCAUUAAUAGGAAGUAAGUGAGUUAAUUGAUACUUAGUUUAUAAUUCAAUCAUCAACAACCACAUCAUUUUGUUUACACAAUUUGAUUUAUAAAUUUAAUUUCUCUAGCAUUAUUCAAAUAUAAUUUACAUUUUUAUUUUUAAUUUUCAUUUAAGUGUUAUUUAUUCCAUAUUUGAAUCCUCUUCGGAUCCCCUCCCGAGGGAUCCUAGGAAUCAACGAAAGUGGAUUGUAGAUAAAAACUCGUGUGAUCCCAAUUAAAUGCUUUGUAUAUAUUUAAAAGUUAAGCAGUCUCGUUUUGCGUGAAAAAUAUAAAAAAGAAAAUAAUUAUGGCCACACGAUUUUUUAUCAACGGUCCACAUGCGUUGAUACCUAAAAUCUCCAAGAAAAUGAUCCAACGAGGAUCCAAUUCCAUUUAUUCCAUCACAUUUGUAGAGUGAGAGAUGACACGUGCUUCUGAUUGAAACCCGAAACGUUUCAUAGAAAAAUUAAAACGUGCUUCUGGUUGAAAAAGCACUUGAUAUAAGCACUUUUAAGAGCUUUCUACAUUAACAUUAGGGUUUGUAGAGUGGGUACCUUAACUCGCUCCAUUUUGAAGGCCUGGCUUACAAUCCUUUUUAUGAAAAUGAAAAGCCCAUUCUUCUCCCUUCAAGCCCAACAAGUCCCUCACCAAACAAAGUCUUCAUCAACACUUCCUUAAGGCACCGUUUGAUACGUGGGACGAGACGUUUUAUCCCACGUUUAAUGUACCUAAAAUGGGUGUAACAUACUGUUUUACGGGACGAAUUUUGGAGAAAUUUUCAUUCCGCCUCCCUCUGAAACGACUCAUUCCACAUCCGUAGAACAUAAAAUUAUAACAUUUCCGUAUCCUUCUCCUUCCUCCUUUGUUUCCAUCCGAGGGAAUCUUUGCCCUCCGUUCCGUGCCGUCCCGUUCCAUUCCGUUCAAUCCCGUCGAUGUCCAGGUCGGAUACUACCAGCCUGGCCCCGUGCCCGAACCAGUACAGGAAUUUCUUCCCGUACAUACGGAAUCACCUGUUGUAAAAUGGGGACGCGCGUUCAAGGGUGUCGUGGUCUUCGAAACAACCGGAGAGGAAGGAAAAGAACAGCAAGCGGAUGAAGGAAAUGCUCGUGAAAAAUCCUAUCUGCUCCGGUAACGUUUUGAGGUUAAAAAUCUCUUAUCAAGAGGGACACCACAGGUCCACGGGUAGCUGGGUGGCAACAGCAACUGCAGGGUUGCAGGUUGCGCAGCUACCAGCCAGAGAUACCACCCGGCAGGGCAGGUGCCCUCCCACGCCAUAAAACCGUUGGACCCACAAGUGGUCGAUUCAGAGUAGCACAAAAAUGCAUCAUCCUGCCAGCUCACAAUUAAGUACAUCUCCAAUUCUCCAUCUUGUUAUAGACCGAUCGACCCACCCACCACACUGUGUCAAAUUAAACCCAGGUCCCAGUUUUUUUCGCCAGGAUACUUGACUCGUUUGACCACCGGACCGUACUUGUAGACCGCCAGCAAGUUCCAGUCUAUACAUCCAUGUGCUCAUCAAUGCGAAACGAUACCGUCUCGCGCACUAUUUGUUGGUGUAAUGAAUUUCUGGUUUGAUUUUCUCCAAGUCAGUAAGUUGCAUAACUUGUUGAAUGCAAUAGUCACACCGCAACAAUUGACAUGUUAUAAGUUUGAAUUUCGUUAAUUAACGUGUUUUAAGUUUGAAUUUCGUUGUAUUAUAAGUAAAUUGGUCAUGAUACCAGCGAAACAAGCUCCGGUACAACCUAAUUUAAUUUUCCCCUUUGUGCCGCACUUUAAUAAGCUAGCAACUAAGCAAGCUCCUGUACAAGUUAAUUUAACGUUUCCAAUCCAAAACGGGGACGUUUCGAAGACCAAAAUUAAGGAUCCAUCCAUCACAAAAACAAAGAAGCUUUCUCCUCUACAGUUCUACUACAUAUAUAUGAUAUAAUCAGCACAAAAUACAGAAUGCAAUUCUGUCUAGAGCAAUGAAGACCUAUCGGGCUUUCUAUCUUGUGCACCUUCCCACGUUUCUCGCUGCGAACUCCCACCUCCGCCGCCACCACUUCCGUAUGCAGUUGCAACAUUUAAGGCACCGCCGCUGCCACCGAAGGAAUUUAGGAAAGCAGAAAAUCCAGCUGCGGAAGCGCCACCUCCACCACCAUUACCGAUGCUCAGCCCAAGAAGGUCACGAGUCAUGGGCUGGCCCCCGAACGACGAAGGCGGACCCAUCAUUAGAUCAGUCAAUUCGGCAGCAUUUGCAGUUGAGAGAAGUUCAAGCCCUAGCUCGGCCCCCACGUGGGCAGCACCACCACUCUCUUGCUCCUUGUUCCACUGCAAUGUUGUGCUAUUUUCUUGAGACGGGGAUGAGGUCGUGGACAACCCCAACCCACGAAGCAGUGAGGCGUUCGAUGUCGCAGCACCCAUUUGGGCUGCCUUUUGGAGCAAUGCCGUGGCGGACAUGGCAGCGGGCUGGGCAUAGUUGCGGUGGUCUUGAUCAGGUGUUGGGAAGAGUGAGGAGCCAUUGCUGGAGAG
rnacentral:lncRNA from 1 species